rnacentral:rRNA from 1 species
AUUGAACGCUGGCGGCAUGCUUUACACAUGCAAGUCGAACGGCAGCACGGACUUCGGUCUGGUGGCGAGUGGCGAACGGGUGAGUAAUACAUCGGAACGUGCCCAGUUGUGGGGGAUAACUACUCGAAAGAGUAGCUAAUACCGCAUGAGAACUGAGGUUGAAAGCAGGGGAUCGCAAGACCUUGCGCAACUGGAGCGGCCGAUGGCAGAUUAGGUAGUUGGUGGGAUAAAAGCUUACCAAGCCGACGAUCUGUAGCUGGUCUGAGAGGACGACCAGCCACACUGGGACUGAGACACGGCCCAGACUCCUACGGGAGGCAGCAGUGGGGAAUUUUGGACAAUGGGCGAAAGCCUGAUCCAGCAAUGCCGCGUGCAGGAUGAAGGCCUUCGGGUUGUAAACUGCUUUUGUACGGAACGAAAAGCUUCGGGUUAAUACCCUGGAGUCAUGACGGUACCGUAAGAAUAAGCACCGGCUAACUACGUG